ensembl:lncRNA
GCGUUACUCCAUACAAAGUAACUAAUUGCAUUACUUAUUAGUUACUUGUUAUGUAAAGUAAUGCAUUAUGUUACUUUUGCGUUACUUUUUGUCACCUGAGCUGGGCCUGCUUAUUUAUUUUUAAUAACAAAAAAAAAACAAAAGUUAUCUUUUUCACAACUGUAAAGGCUCUUUCACACCAAAAAUGAAAUGAAUCAGCCUCACGCUGAAGGAAACACCUGUGUCUCUGCACUCUCUCCUGAUUCUCUCAUCAUGAGCACAGGACAGCUGUCAGUCAUACAUGGGAAACAAAGCAAACUGCCUUACUUAUUUGAAAAGUAACUCAGAUAUUUUCUUGUAAAUUUAAAAGUAAUGUGUUACUUUACUAGUUACUUGAAAAAAGUAAUCUGAAUACAUACCUCGGGUUAUGUAUUCUACACACACACACACACACACACACACACACACACACACACACUCACACUCUCUCUCACAGACAUACUCACACACACUCCUGCCAGACUGUCGAUGUCUGAGACAAAUGAAUGACGCUGAUGUCACUGGCCUUAAGCCACCCAGAGGAUGAUGGGAAACAGGAAGACUGUGGCACACUCAGAGAUGACGGAAAGAUGAAUGUUUCUGCAUCUUCCACACUUCAAUUCAAAGAGACAAACGAGAGGAUAAUACACAGAAGAUCUCCUGAUUCAUCACACGACAGGAGCGCAGGGGAACAAGAGGACGGAUGAAUAAUAGCUAUGCCCGGAUGACAAACGGAUGAGAAGUGUUUGAGGAUGAAGGUGUGAUGGAGGAUCUGCUGAUGCAGCGCUGAUGUGCUGAGUUUGCUGCUUUCAGCCUCACGUCCUGCAGGAGAUUCAGAUUCAGAUUCAGAUCUGCUGACGGACAAAACCCUCCAGCUGCUGCAGGAUCCGCCUCUAACACACGUCAGGUUUCCAUAUGAACACACAGCAGCGGGACGUACACACCUGUCAGCCAAUCAGAACGCAGGAAAUCAUGUUCUGCUCUGAUUUUAGAAGAACAUCUGCUGAACGGAUUUAAAGAUGUGUUAAACUGAACCGUAUCUGAAAGCGUCUUCAAAAACUAGCUGAAAUAUUUGAUGAUCAAUUAUGCAAGAAGAACACGAUGGCAAAUUCUGUUCAGCUACAGAGCUAUUAAAAACAUAUUUAAAAUUUUAAAUAAAACUCAAAAAUGAUAAAAUAUAAAUAUUAUA